rnacentral:rRNA from 1 species
UACACGCAUGACACACUGCAUAUCAAUAAGCGGAGGAAAAGAAACUAACAAGGAUUCCCUUAGUAACGGCGAGUGAAGCGGGAAGAGCUCAAAUUUGAAAUCUUCAAGGUUCUACCUUGACGAAUUGUAGUUUAUAGAAGUGUUUUCUGUUAGUAGAGUGGCAAAAGUUCUUUGGAAUAGGACAUCAUAGAGGGUGAGAAUCCCGUAUUUGGUCAUUCUUUCUAGCUUUGUGAUACACUUUCAACGAGUCGGAUUGUUUGGGAAUGCAGUCCAAAAUGGGUGGUAAAUUUCAUCUAAAGCUAAAUAUUGGCGAGAGACCGAUAGCGAACAAGUACCGUGAGGGAAAGAUGAAAAGAACUUUGAAAAGAGAGUUAAACAGUACGUGAAAUUGUCAAAAGGGAAGCGUUUGACACCAGUGUUGUUUUUCCGAAAAUCAAUUACGAAUGUUUUGUUUUUAAGAAGUUAUGACUUCAUCGGCUUGCUUCUUUCUUUACGAAACUUUCUUAAUGCACUUUUCGGUUAACAAGUCAACAUCAAUUUCUUUUGUUGUAAAAGGGUACGAGGAAGGUGGCUUUCUUUUCGGAGAAAGUGUUUAUAGCCUUGUACCUCCGCAAUCGGAGAGAUUGAGGUCUGCAGCGUAGAUCCUUCGGGGUUAGAUACAUUUGCGCUAAGUUAUAGCUUUUCAUAGACAACUUGUUGACUAUGUUAAGUCUUGUAGCUUACUCGCUUAUGCUAUUUUACCUACGCUUAGGAUGUUGACGCAUGAGAUAUACGC